GUAGCUCAGCUGGAUAGAGUACUGCCCUCCGAAGGCAGGGGUCGUGGGUUCGAAUCCCGCC
rnacentral:tRNA from 3 species